UUUUGUUGCAUUACAGAUAUUUAAGGUUUCACUGUGUCUGUUGGAGGAUUGAAAGAUGAUUGGUUGACAGGGGAACUUUUAUCUGUGGGGGUCCGUUUUCGAUGAAACGAAACUUUUAGUGAUGCGGAAAUGAAAUCUUAAACGCAUGUGUGACACAGUUCGUCUCCACCCCUGAAGCAGAGAUGGCUUAGACUUUUACAGGGCGAGGUGUUGUUACAUUUUGCUUUUCUGCUAUGACAAAAAGGCUUUUUGUUGGAGAACCCUGAAGAGAAAACACGUCAGAGUGUUGUGUUACGACAAAAGAGAGUCCCACCAGCUGGGAGACCUGUCAGACCGCACUGUCACCGGAGACGACCGAAGAUCGGUAAGGCUCGAGGAUGAAGUGCUCGGAUUGUGGCCACGCUAUUGUGGAGAAGCAGGCCAAGUUCUGCAGUAACUGUGGCUUCAAGCUUUCUACCCAACCUGCUACUGCACAGGUCACAGAAAACCGGCCUCACUCACUGGUAGCUGAAAGUGAAACUCCGAGAACAGAUUCUCAGAAAAAUGACCAGCUUGCUGAAACCAAGGAAGCCAAGAAGUCUCCGAAACGACCAAAUGAUGAACAGCCCAUCCAGAAGAAAAAGGUUAGUUUUGACUUCCAGAGGUUGUUGAGAGCUCUGGGUUUGUUUAAGAGCAAGGACCCACAAACCGGCCAGUACAAGGCUAAAGUGGGCGUCUGAAU
rnacentral:lncRNA from 1 species